rnacentral:rRNA from 1 species
AUUGAACGCUGGCGGCAGGCCUAACACAUGCAAGUCGAACGAGUGGCGGACGGGUGAGUAAUGUCUGGGACACUGCCUGAUGGAGGGGGAUAACUACUGGAAACGGUAGCUAAUACCGCAUCCCAUCAGAUGUGCCCAGAUGGGAGUCGCUAGUUUGUGGGGUAACGGCUCACCGAGGAGACGAUCCGUAGCUGGUCUGAGAGGAUGACCAGCCACACUGGAACUGAGAAACGUCCCAGACUCCUACGGGAGGCAGCAGUGGGGAAUAUUGCACAAUGGGCGCAAGCCUGAUGCAGCCAUGCCGCGUGUAUGAAGAAGGCCUUCGGGUUGUAAAGUACUUUCAGCGGGGAGGCGUUACCCGCAGAAGAAGCACCGGCUAACUCCGUGCCAGCCGCCGCGGUAAUUC